GAUGAACGCUGGCGGCGUGCCUAAUACAUGCAAGUCGAGCGAACGGACGAGAAGCUUGCUUCUCUGAUGUUAGCGGCGGACGGGUGAGUAACACGUGGAUAACCUACCUAUAAGACUGGGAUAACUUCGGGAAACCGGAGCUAAUACCGGAUGAUAUUUUGAACCGCAUGGUUCAAAAGUGAAAGACGGUCUUGCUGUCACUUAUAGAUGGAUCCGCGCUGCAUUAGCUAGUUGGUAAGGUAACGGCUUACCAAGGCAACGAUGCAUAGCCGACCUGAGAGGGUGAUCGGCCACACUGGAACUGAGACACGGUCCAGACUCCUACGGGAGGCAGCAGUAGGGAAUCUUCCGCAAUGGGCGAAAGCCUGACGGAGCAACGCCGCGUGAGUGAUGAGGGUCUUCGGAUCGUAAAACUCUGUUAUUAGGGAAGAACAUAUGUGCAAGUAACUGUGCACAUCUUGACGGUACCUAAUCAGAAAGCCACGGCUAACUACGUG
rnacentral:rRNA from 1 species